UGUGAACUUACCUAUGUUGCCUCGGCAGGGAACCUACCCGGUACUUACCCUGUAUUUGCUGGGUAGGCCUGCCGAAGGACCUGUUAAACUCUUGUUUUAUUGUGGCACUCUGAGUAACCAAAAGUAAAUAAGUUAAAACUUUCAACAACGGAUCUCUUGGUUCUGGCAUCGAUGAAGAACGCAUCGAAAUGCGAUAAGUAAUGUGAAUUGCAGAAUUCAGUGAAUCAUCGAAUCUUUGAACGCACAUUGCGCCCACUAGUAUUCUGGUGGGCAUGCCUGUUCGAGCGUCAUUUCGACCCCUAAGCCUUAGUUGUUUAGCGUUGGGAGCUUGCAUAUCCGCGGUCUAGCCGUGGCGUAACUCCUUAAAUUUCGUGGCAGGGCUCGUGUCGCCUUGAAGUGUAGUAAUUAUGUUCUCACUUUUAAAAGGCGGUCACGCGGCACAGCCAAGUGAAACCUUUUAUAUAUAAUGGUUGACCUCGGAUCAUGUAGGAAUACCCGCUGAACUUAAGCAUAUCA
rnacentral:rRNA from 1 species